rnacentral:snRNA from 1 species
GGAUGUGAGGGUGAUCUGGCUGUGAUCACCAGGGUUGAUUUUGCUAAUCUGUCUGGCUAGGCAGGUGUCCCCCUUGCUCCCUCACUGCUCCAUAUACAUUGUUCCCAAAGCUGCUAAACGGGGAGACCACGUCUCAUAUUGUCUUCUGCCUAUUCUGCCUCAAAGGAAAGAGAAAGUG